AUUGAACGCUAGCGGCAUGCUUAACACAUGCAAGUCGAACGGUAGCAGGUCUAGCUUGCUAGAUGCUGACGAGUGGCGGACGGGUGAGUAACGCGUAGGAAUCUACCUUGUAGUGGGGGAUAACUUGGGGAAACCCAAGCUAAUACCGCAUGAGCCCCAAGGGGGAAAGCAGGGGACCGAAAGGCCCUGUGCUAUGAGAUGAGCCUGCGUCGGAUUAGCAGUUGGUGGGGUAAAGGCCUACCAAGGCGACGAUCCGUAGCUGGUCUGAGAGGACGACCAGCCACACUGGGACUGAGACACGGCCCAGACUCCUACGGGAGGCAGCAGUGGGGAAUAUUGGACAAUGGGCGCAAGCCUGAUCCAGCAAUGCCGCGUGUGUGAAGAAGGCCUGCGGGUUGUAAAGCACUUUCAGUAGGGAGGAAGGCCUCAAUGUUAAUAGUAUUGAGGAUUGACGUUACCUACAGAAGAAGCACCGGCUAACUCUGU
rnacentral:rRNA from 1 species